rnacentral:rRNA from 1 species
UGUUGGUAGUGAAAUUCAAUUUGACUACUGUGUUGUUGGUCGUUAGUUGUUCGCUUGUCGAAUGAUUAUGAUCAUCAUUGCAUUUUAGUCAAUGCACUUUUCACUACCACGUUGGAGCUCUGACUCUUAACACACAACUUGAUUGUUUAGUGCAACUUUUUUUAGUGGUUAAGUCUCUUUAUUGAGUCUUAUUCACUUUGAAAGGAGUCAAAUCGAGUUACGGUUAAGAGGUGAAUUACUUACUAUUGUAAGUCUAUUCAGAUCGUCUGAUCUUGGUGAUGGUG